rnacentral:rRNA from 2 species
CUUUUAUGGAGAGUUUGAUCCUGGCUCAGGACGAACGCUGGCGGCGUGCCUAAUACAUGCAAGUCGA